rnacentral:rRNA from 1 species
UACGUAGGGUGCGAGCGUUGUCCGGAAUUAUUGGGCGUAAAGGGCUCGUAGGCGGUUUGUCGCGUCGGGCGUGAAAAUCCAGGGCUUAACUCUGGACUGGCUUCCGAUACGGGCAGACUAGAGGUAUGCAGGGGAGAACGGAAUUCCCGGUGUAGCGGUGAAAUGCGUAGAGAUCGGGAAGAACAUCGGUGGCGAAGGCGCUCUACUGGACCACAACUGACACUCAGGGACGAAAGCUAGGGGAGCGAAUGGG